rnacentral:rRNA from 1 species
UACGGGGGGGGCAAGCGUUGUUCGGAAUUACUGGGCGUAAAGGGCUCGUAGGCGGCCAACUAAGUCAGACGUGAAAUCCCCCGGCUUAACCAGGGAACUGCGUCUGAUACUGGAUGGCUUGAGUUUGGGAGAGGGAUGCGGAAUUCCAGGUGUAGCGGUGAAAUGCGUAGAUAUCUGGAGGAACACCGGUGGCGAAGGCGACAUCCUGGACCAACACUGACGCUGAGUGAGCGAAAGCCAGGGGAGCAAAGCGGG